GAUGAACGCUGGCGGCGUGCCUAAUACAUGCAAGUCGAGCGAACAGACGAGGAGCUUGCUCCUCUGACGUUAGCGGCGGACGGGUGAGUAACACGUGGAUAACCUACCUAUAAGACUGGGAUAACUUCGGGAAACCGGAGCUAAUACCGGAUAAUAUAUUGAACCGCAUGGUUCAAUAGUGAAAGACGGUUUUGCUGUCACUUAUAGAUGGAUCCGCGCCGCAUUAGCUAGUUGGUAAGGUAACGGCUUACCAAGGCAACGAUGCGUAGCCGACCUGAGAGGGUGAUCGGCCACACUGGAAAUGAGACAAGGUCCAGAAUCCUACGGGAGGCAGCAGUAGGGAAUCUUCCGCAAUGGGCGAAAGCCUGACGGAGCAAAGCCGCGUGAGGGAUGAAGGUCUUCGGAUCGGAAAACUCUGUUAUUAGGGAAGAACAAAUGUGUAAGUAACUAUGCACGUCUUGACGGUACCUAAUCAGAAAGCCACGGCUAACUACGUG
rnacentral:rRNA from 1 species